ACAGGUGGAGGAGAGAGAGCAUCGAUAGAGAGAACAGGUGGAGGAGAGAGAGCAUCGAUAGAGAGAACAGGUGGAGGAGAGAGAGCAUCGAGAGAGAGAACAGGUGGAGGAGAGAGAGAGCAUCGAUAGAGAGAACAGGUGGAGGAGAGAGAGCAUCGAUAGAGAGAACAGGUGGAGGAGAGAGAGCAUCGAUAGAGAGAACAGGUGGAGGAGAGAGAGCAUCGAUAGAGAGAAGAGGUGGAGGAGAGAGAGCAUCGAGAGAGCGAACAGGUGGAGGAGAGAGAGAGCAUCGAUAGAGAGAACAGGUGGAGGAGAGAGAGCAUCGAUAGAGAGAACAGGUGGAGGACAGAGAGAGCAUCGAUAGAGAGAACAGGUGGAGGACAGAGAGAGCAUCGAUAGAGAGAACAGGUGGAGGAGAGAGAGCAUCGAUAGAGAGAACAGGUGGAGGAGAGAGAGCAUCGAUAGAGAGAACAGGUGGAGGAGAGAGAGAGCAUCGAUAGAGAGAACAGGUGGAGGACAGAGAGAGCAUCGAUAGAGAGAACAGGUGGAGGACAGAGAGAGCAUCGAUAGAGAGAACAGGUGGAGGAGAGAGAGCAUCGAUAGAGAGAACAGGUGGAGGAGAGAGAGCAUCGAUAGAGAGAACAGGUGGAGGAGAGAGAGCAUCGAUAGAGAGAACAGGUGGAGGACAGAGAGAGCAUCGAUAGAGAGAACAGGUGGAGGAGAGAGAGAGCAUCGAUAGAGAGAACAGGUGGAGGAGAGAGAGCAUCGAUAGAGAGAACAGGUGGAGGAGAGAGAGAGCAUCGAUAGAGAGAACAGGUGGAGGAGAGAGAGCAUCGAUAGAGAGAACAGGUGGAGGACAGAGAGAGCAUCGAUAGAGAGAACAGGUGGAGGAGAGAGAGCAUCGAUAGAGAGAACAGGUGGAGGAGAGAGAGCAUCGAUAGAGAGAACAGGUGGAGGAGAGAGAGCAUCGAUAGAGAGAACAGGUGGAGGACAGAGAGAGCAUCGAUAGAGAGAACAGGUGGAGGAGAGAGAGAGCAUCGAUAGAGAGAACAGGUGGAGGAGAGAGAGCAUCGAUAGAGAGAACAGGUGGAGGACAGAGAGAGCAUCGAUAGAGAGAACAGGUGGAGGAGAGAGAGCAUCGAUAGAGAGAACAGGUGGAGGAGAGAGAGCAUC